ACGCGAGGAACCUUACCCGGGCUUGAACUGCAGAGGAAGGAUUGAGAGAUCAUGACGCCCUUCGGGGUCUCUGUGGAGGUGCUGCAUGGUUGUCGUCAGCUCGUGCCGUGAGGUGUCGGCUUAAGUGCCAUAACGAGCGCAACCCCUUUCCCCGGUUGCCAUCGGGUCAUGCCGGGCACUCCGUGGACACUGCCACCGCAAGGUGCGAGGAAGGUGGGGAUGACGUCAAAUCAGCACGGCCCUUACGUCCGGGGCUACACACGUGUUACAAUGGUGUCAGACAGAGAGAAGCAAACCCGCGAGGGGGAGCAAAUCUCAAAAACGGCAUCUCAGUUCGGACUGCAGGCUGCAACCCGCCUGCACGAAGCUGGAAUCGCUAGUAAUCGCGAAUCAGCAUGUCGCGGUGAAUACGUUCCCGGGUCUUGUACACACCG
rnacentral:rRNA from 1 species